UCUUAAAUUAAGGCCUUGAAUGUGGCUUCUAUUUGUAAGGAAUUCCUAUUACGAAAUCAAGUAAUCUCUAUAUAAGGAGACCAUUUUUAUGAGUAAAGACAAGCAUAAUUUCUUGAACAACGUUGUCAAGAUGUUACAAACUCCCUUUAACGAGCUUCAUUACAAUUCACUACAAUUCUGAGGUUAAAGCUCCUCCAACGAGCUUUCUUGCAAUUCACCAUAGAUCGCUAAUGGAAUGGCCAAGAUACCAACAAGGGAAACUCAUCCGACAUUGAAGAAGACUAUCCUAUCCAAUGGCCUGUGACUUGAUCCUAUUCUAGGGCGCAUAACAAAGACUUAGACUUGGAAUACCAUCCUUUGUUGUUAAUUAGUUUCCAAAUAAUUGAUAAACUUAGCUUGAAAUAGCAAAUAAUUGCAUUAUUCAUUAGGUUAGUGAUGCUUAUUUAUUCUUAAUGUCCCAGUUAGGAAGAAGAAAGUUGAGGGCUUUCCCUCAAUAAAGAACACAAAGCAUGAACUGCUAAGUUUUACCAUCUUAUUCUGGAUAAAGCUCAUGUGGGGAUAUUUUGUAUUUUAGUUGACUGUGUUUACUUUCAUAUGAUAUGCUAAUUUAUCCUAAAGAGUGGUAAUUUGAAUUGUAUAUGCUAGAAAUGCCUCAUAAUUUGGGUUUAUUGUGAAGUUGCUUGUCCUGAUGUGAUUCAUGCAUAUAAUUAAAGCAGAAUGGAUAAAUUUCUAUGCAAGAAAACUUCGUCGAACAAAGUAUUUUAAGUUAGAAGUGAUGCUUUCUUGUGUUAGCUAAGCUUGGGUUGGAGUCUGGGAUAUAUAAUCAUAUAUGGACUUCUUUAAUUUAUCAUAUUCAUGAAUCUAGGUUAGUUUUAGAGAUACCAGAUUCGCUCAUCCCUACCGUGAUCUAAGCUACGUGUUCCAAUUUGCGGGAUUUUUGCAUUCCAAAUCACUAGAUUUGGGUUGCCAAAAUAGGGGUUUCUAUGAAAGAUGAAAAGAAAAAGGAGAAUGAAAAGAAGGAAGAUAAACUGAGAUGAAAAAGCGACAACCAUGCUCAGGAGAAGAAAAAGAAGCAGUGAUGCAAGAAGAAUAAGAAAUAGAAAUGAGCAAGAAAAAAUUAAAUGGAACUCUUGAGUGGGGUUAGCUGGUUAGAUGAGACCUUGGGGGAGUAAUAUGCAAUAACGCCUCUUGACUAAUUGGAAAUGUGGGAGUUCUUAGGAAAUACAAACACUAGUAAUUAUUAAUAAUAUUUUUUAAUUAUUUAAAAUUAUUUUUAUUGAACAAAUAAUAAUAAUAAUAAUGAAUUUUGAAUAACUUUUUUGUCAUGUAAAAAAAAACUAAUUAUUCAUAUCAAAACAAUAUUUUUAUUUUUUAUAAAUAUAUUAUGCUAAAUAAAAUUAAAAAUGAAUUAUGCAACAUAAAUAUAAUUCAAGUACUAAAUAAAUAUAAUUCGUGUACCUCAAACAAAAUUGGAGUACCAACUAAGUUACCCUUUACAUACUUGUAUUUCACUAAGUGGCGUACCACAUAUCAUGCCCUGAAUGUAUCACGCUCUAGGUAACUAUGGUUAGUUUUGUGUGUGGAAAAAGUGUAGAUUUCAAAUACCUUGUGACAGGUUUUAUUUCAAAUUCACUCUUGUGAGUCUAGUUUUUGUUUAUGAAUUUUUCAAUCUAACAAAUUAAAGAAUGGGCUAACUUUCCCUUCAUAUUACUUGAACCAAAGCAACGUCAUUUAUAUCCAAACAUAGCAUUAGAUUGUUUUGUUACUUUUAUGGCAUAUGCACCUAUUUACCUUAAAUGACAUUGUAAGUUGUGCAGGUGUUCCAUGGA
rnacentral:misc_RNA from 1 species